AAUUUUUCUGGCAAUUAUCUUUUGUUUUUCCGAGUUUUGUGAAUUUCUUAAUCUUGUUAUAUUUACUUUGUAGUCGAAAAUUUUAUCUGCGUAAUAAUCUAAGAUAGAUGUUUGAUCAUGUUUGACAAUUGACGAUUGCAAGACUCGUGAGAAACGCAAUUUCAAUCUGCCUACGAGGGAUCAGCAAUAUCAUCAACAUCCACUGCAUAUAAUGUUAAAGAAUUCUGGUCUAUUUUAGAACUACUUGCAUAUAAUUUAUCCGGCGACAUAAGAGAUAAAAUUCUUUUCUUUAUCAUCGUGUUUAUGCAAGUUUCGUUUCUUGCUUUUAAUGCCGACUUAAUAACGCAAAUGGUGGUUGCCGACAAAGGUUUUGCUAUUACAUUUUUAACAAUAGAAAUGCACUUACAAGGAGAGGCCGCGAGAUAAGAGUCACCGACUUUAAUAAAAUUUUAUGAGAGUGUAGUAUUUAUUUACACAUUUACUGCAGUUUGUUGUGGAUAUUGAGCAUUUUCGUGAAAAUAAUACUUUUUUUGUAAAUUAAAUUUUAUAUUUUUAAAUUGUUAUAUACAAGGUUUAGACCAUUUUUAAUUAUUUAACAUAAAAUAUGUUAUUAAAAGAAAUUAAUAUAUGCAAUAAUUUUAUAUAUGCAGAAUAAUUAAAAGAAUUGUAUUAUAUGUAAUUACAUCGUAGUGUUAGGUGUAUAUUUUUAGUUGUAUUGUGUUUAAAAUAUUAAAAAAUAUAUUAUUCUUAAAUUAUAAUAAAAAAA